UGUAUUUGUUCUACUAGCAUGUACACCAAGUACCAAUCCUCAUAGUAUUCUCUUAAAGCAGUUUGUCUACAAGAAGUGCCACAGUUCCCAGGUGAAUGCACCGCAUACCUCAAACCUUGGAUACAAAUAGUAUGUAGGAUUGAGGUAGGAAGCAGGUCAACACUCCACUACACAUAUCUCUUGUCCAUAUUUUAAGCAAAUGAGGUAAUUGCCAGCGUCAGUGAUACCAGACUGUUUGUCUUGUGCAAGGUUUUCAGAAGGAAUAUGUGUGGUUUUCUUUUUUUAUUGGAACAUAUGCAACAUACCAAGUAAACACACUCUGUUUUGUAAAGACAUAUUGUAUUUAUGGGGAUACUCAUUGUCUUUUUUUUACGUUUUUUAAAAAUGAGUUAAGCCUGUUGUACGUGUACAGUUUGAAUAAAAUGGUUAAGGUUUGUAA